rnacentral:lncRNA from 1 species
UUUGAACCUUAGGAAUAGAUUAGGAUACAAGUGACAUAUCACUAGGAUGGUUGAGCAUCCGAACUCGUUGAGUUGAGUCCGAGUUCACUUAUGGAUGCGAAUGUUCGAACUCGUUGAGUUGAGUCCGAGUUCGUGAAAUGUAACUAGGCACCCGAACUCGUUGAGUUGAGUCCGAGUUCACUUAUGGAUGCGAACGCCCGAGCUCGUUGAGUUGAGUCCGAGUUCACUUAGGGGCGGGUUACAUGAUUUCUUGAUUACAUAUGAGGCACUUAUGUGCAAAUUAUCCGUGUAUCCGAGUUGUAUUCCGA